UACGUAGGGGGCGAGCGUUGUCCGGAAUCACUGGGCGUAAAGCGUGCGUAGGCGGUCAAGCAAGUCCGAGGUGAAAGACCGAGGCUCAACCUCGGGGUGGCCUUGGAAACUGUUUGACUUGAGUGCUGGAGAGGCAAGGGGAAUUCCACGUGUAGCGGUGAAAUGCGUAGAUAUGUGGAGGAACACCAAAUGGCGAAGGCAGCCUUCUGGGCCAACACUGACGCUCAUGCACGAAGCGUGGGGAGCAAACAGG
rnacentral:rRNA from 1 species